rnacentral:misc_RNA from 1 species
GUGAAUCAUCGAAUCUUUGAACGCACAUUGCGCCCUUUGGUAUUCCGAAGGGCAUGCCUGUUCGAGCGUCAUUUAAACUCUCAAGCCCGGCUUGGUUUUGGGAGAUGUCCUCACGGACACUCCUCCAACGUUUAGGCGUCGACGUACGAUCUCAAGCGUAGCAAGCUCGAUCGUUUAGUGAUCUUGCGUCGGCCGCCGGCCAACAAACCCCUCGAAGUUUGACCUCGGAUCAGGUAGGGAUACCCGCUGAACUUAAGCAUAUCAAUAAGCGGAGGA